rnacentral:sRNA from 1 species
UGGCAUAUCUCAAACUUUACAAAAUUAUAAUGGCAUGGUUCCAAUUUAUCCUUUUUUAUUA